ensembl:lncRNA
GGCUGGCUCUGUCCCAACAAUGAUGAAAGUAUAAAUGGUUGUCAAACCCAACACUUUAUAUCAGUUUUAUUACCAACGUAUCUUUGAAAUCAACAUUUGUGCAUUAAUGUUUCAGCACUCUGAAUCGUUUAUUGCACCAGAUUGCCCACUUCUCUCACCGCGUUCUAUCUUCAUUGUCAUUGCAAAAUUACAUUUUUAUGGUCAACUAGAGUCUGGAAACAAUUGCCAAGAAGAAACCUAGCACACUUUGCUUGGUGUGACAUUCCUAAGAGUACAGUGUUACGUAUCGGGCUGUCUGCAUUCUAUUCAAUGAUUUACUCUUUCCAAACUUCCGUGGAAACAUAAUAUUGCACAUCACUUUGAAUGUCUUGUGUAGUGCAGCGGAGCGUAAUGUUGACUUUCAUUACCAGACUGGCAGUUUUUAAAAGAGUAAACCUUGUUGAAAUUUGCAGUGUUCAUUAACAUAAAGAAAUAAAAAAAUGUCACUCACUGUCACCAUCACUACCCAUAAAAAAGUAGAGCCCAAAGGACAUUAAGUGGAGGAUUUAUGGCUGCCAUUUAUGUGAGUGGAGGGCUGAUAAACCUUAUGAAGUCUCCCUUGGCGCUGUACGGUUUUUGCUUUCUCUGUCCCGCUCUGUUGAUUUUUUCCCUGUUGCUUCGGAGUACCUAUAAUUUCCCUCUCUUUAUUUUCAUUGGCAUUUAAAGAGGUUGCUGCUCUGUUGAAUGUACUCGUUCAAUAGUGAGCUUUUCAACACACACGUACACACACACACACAUACACACACACACAUGCAUGCACACACACGAAGAAAGCAGCCGUGAGCACGCAGGGAGGAGACCCUGACUCUCCAGCUCAAUGCCACAGGAUGAUGGAAGCCAGCGAGUUGCAAGCGCACACCGGGUCUGAAAGCAUUUCUCCCUGUCUGUGCUCGUCAAUGUCAGGGGAGGGGGGCAUUAAUUGAUUGGCUUGGUUUCUAUUCCCUUUUGUGAGGUGGCUUUAGUCCUGGCUUCACGAAGGUUGGUGAAAUCCUUUCAGGCCAUUCUCUCUGGCUGUCGGAGCUACCGCUGUCUCCACCUUUAUCGGUGGGAAUCGCCCUUGCACAUUUUAAUCUGCCACAUCCUGGGGAUUCAUAUCACUUUAUGUCUCGUCGGGUUUUUUAUUUAUUCUAUGAUCGUACAACGAAAUCACUCCCUUUCCUUCCCUGCUGAUUUUUUAUUUCUUAGAUAUUUUCCAGAAAAUGAAUGAAAAUAUGAGCCUGUAACAAUGAGUGUGUGUGUGUGUGUGUGUGUGUGUGUGUGUGUGUGUGUGUGUUGGGGGUGUUUGUUUGUCACUAUGCAAUAGAGUCAGUCUUCAGGAUAUAAUUGACCGCACAUGAGAUCAAAGCGUGUUUGUGCAGCAGCGUUUUAUGACUGGCUUUUUUUUAAUGCCGAAGUGUGACAAGAUGCUCAGAGCCUUUGUACAAACUCCAAACUAUGUUCCAGUAAUUAAACGUUUAGCUGUUUUUCUUCCCAUAAAACAGGCAGCUUAGACCCAGAGGCUG